AAAAAAAAAGAGGAAGAUUUGAAUUUAUUAUGUAUUAUUUCUAAGAGAGAACUCGAAAAAUCAUUUGUCCUAAACAAUAGCUUCUAUCUAUUGACUCCCAAGUAGUUCCCAAGAAACUAAAUUGCUCUUACCAAAUUAUCCUUUUAAUACAUCCAUGUUAUAGACUCAUCAACUACCUGUUCAUUAAAACACAUGGCCUACCAAAAUUAUAUUUUAACAUCAUUAGCUUUUAAAUACUAGAAGUCAUUUCAAUGCUUAGAAAAGUCUGGUGAGCAUGAUUACAUGUGGAAACUUUCAGAUAGAAUGUAUCCAAAAAAGGAAGUAUAUUAAAAAUGUAAAUAUAUUUCAGAUAGCAUGUAUCCAAAAAUGUAGAUAUAUUGACAGGCUUUGCCACUUUUUUGCAGUUUCACAUCAUGUCUUUACUUGUAAUAAUAACAAUAAUUGCUGCAAAGAUAAUAAACUACAUUCCCAUUCUGCUAUCCCUCUACCCCCAGUACUGUAUCUACAGUUUUCCCUGCAACAUGGUGGCAGUCUACAAAGAGUCUUUGUGACAUCAGGAGGAGAGUCUAGAUUUCCUUCCAGGGCAACAUAUUUUGGUAUUAGGUUGAACCAUAAAAUUGCCAUUUUUGGUCAGGAUGAUUGACUACUGGUGGUUUCCUAUGGCACAAGCUAAAGAGCCUUCCUUGGGUUUGGGUUCCAGUCCUGAGAGUCACUUGUGUGUCCAAUGGGCCAGUCACUUAACUGCUGAGUCUUGGUGUGUGAAAUGGUAGUAACACCUAGUGCAUAGGAUUGAUUAUUAACUUAACAUUGAGGCUUAGCAAUGACAUACAGGAGCACCAUGCCUGGAAACAGUUAUUGUUCAAGAAAUAGGUAAUAAUACAAUGUAAUUAUCGGUAUAAGUAACUUAGAAGAGUUUCCUCACUUUCCCUUUAGCCAUUUUUGCGUAUAUGGUGAAGGUAAUGGUUGCUAUGGUAGAGAGAAAUGGAAAAUAUUUGUGAAGCAAGCACAGUUUUUAAAACCCCAAUAACGUUAAAGGCCUUCCACUCCUGUCUUGUAUGCUCUCUUAUGUCCUAGUAAGGGCAAAGAUAAAGUUUGACACAUACUCGGUGGAGUAUCUAAAUAGAAAAUGUACUGAUGCAAACCAAGAACAGGGUUUUAAGAAAAAAAUCAAAGCACUAAGCAAACAUUCUGAACUUUUGGCAGAGGAAUUGGACUGUCUGAAUCCCCAUGACUCUUUGGAGUUAUUAAUAGUGACGCAUUUUGCCAUAUUUUGAGCAGACGCAUAUUUAUAGGUCACGCAGUAUCUGUAUGGGGAGACUUUCAAGGCUUUAUGGCCUUUUAAAAAUGUCUUGUCUUGGAAGAGAACAGGGCAAGGAGGAUGCCAUUUUGUCAUCUGUGCAGCACCAACCACCCUGUGCUCAUUAAAUAUUACGGGAAAGACAGGCACUGCAGCAGGGCCUGGAAUGUGGCUCCCAUCUGCUCUGCCAGAAGCCACGAUGAAGUCACGAGUUGCACAACAGUAGUAUUUCACAGCUAUUUAUGACCAUUUUAAUAGCAAAGGUCUAGAUCAGAAGGCUGUGUUUACAUGCCGUGCAGCAGAAUAGUUCAUGAAUCAUUCCCACAGCAGCGUUUGGUCAAACCAAUCAACUAAGUAAUGAAAAAUGAACCAGUUGUUCUUGAGGUUGUGAUUAAUAGAUCUCUAUAUUAGCCUCCACUUUCCUCAUGCUCUUCCAUACCUGAGACAGAAUUGACUCCUGCCCCAUGCCCACAGACUCUCCUCCUCUGUCUUCCCGGCAAGCCACAGCCCUGUUACCCUUUCUCCACCCAAGCUCAAAGCCCUAAGACAUCAGGUAAGUUAAAGGAGCUUUGAAAACUCCUGUAGAGCACCUGUGCACAUAAUUAAGGAAAUAUUAUUUUUAGCACAUGUUUAUUUUCUCAUUGUCAUUGCUCCAUUACGUGACUUCAGUUAGUGACCCCGAUGGCCCCUUUGCAUCCAGAUCAGUAAAAUCCUUUCACUUGUCUGCUUAAAGUGAGUGGAGGUUUUAGUGAUUAUCACUUCCAUGCAGCCUGAAGGUCAGACUAUUUCCUUUUGUUUCACUAGACAGUUAAUCCCCUCAUUAAGAGUGAUGGAAAAUGAAUAAUUAAACAUGCCAUUUUCACAUUUCAGGUAAUGAGAGGCCCUAAGAUCCCGGAGGAUGCCGUAAGAGGAAAAGUCAGGGGAGUGUUGAAGACUCUGCCUCCUAUAAAUAUAGAAGUUCACAAGACCAGAGAGUAAACAGCUCACACACGGUCACCCAGCAGGUGUGUGACAGGUCCAUUGCCAGAAGGUAAAUGCUUUGCUCCUGGUCCAGUGCCCUUUCUGCUUGGCCACAGGAGUCCACAAAGACCAUUUUAUUUAUUUCUUUUUCAAAAUACAAAAUUUUAUCAAAAAAGGGCCAUUUUUAUAGCUGAAGUAAGACUUGGUGUUUUCCAUUUUCUCUUUUUAAAGUCAAGAUCUGUUUUCUCAGAUAGAUUAUUCACAUUUCCCUUUACUACGGUAAUUUUCUUGUUUGUAGAAUUAAAUAAUUAACCUUGAGGUAAUCUUUGUGUUGAAGACACCUUAGCCUAGGGGUGCAAGUUGCUUAAUGGGAAGAAAAGUGGGUGUCUAAGGGAAAGUACAGACUUCUAGGCGUUCCCCGGCUCCCUCGGAACAGCCCUCUGACCUGGUGCUCAGGAUAAGGUGAAGUCAUGGAAAAGCAUCAGCAAACGUGCCUCUCAACCUGCCUUGCCCAUGAUGACCGUCAUCCCAGGCCCCAGAGUGGAGGCGUCGAGCCACUUCACAGGGUCCCUGGGUGCCCAUCUCCUCGGAGGGGGCCCCUUCCCACAAGGGACCCAUCGGUCUCACUUCUCUGUUCUCCCUCCUCCCCACUUCUCUAUCUUUUCUGUAAAAUGUUUAAAAGAAAAAAUAAAUCUCUCCUGUUAGAGCAUGUUCCUUUUCUUUUACCUCCAACCUUUUUUUUUUUUUUAAUUUCUCAGUCUCUGCCUCUCAUGCAGGUGAACUUGCUUUCCUCCACUUCGUGCAAACACACAUUAGAGCUUUGCUUCCUCUGCUUCUGGGGCCCGCAGCCUUCCCUUUGUGGCACCUUCUCCCCAAGACCUGUUCCUUUCUGCCUCCUAGGAGCCCAUUCUGGACAGGGGAUGCCCCAAUAAUGUCAGAGGGCUCCUGCGGAUGUUCCCCUACCCCCAUCCCAGUUACCUGGCCUGGGCUCAGGCGUGGGAAGUCCUGAAGUUCUGAUUUUCUUGGUUAAUCUCCUUGAAGCAAUUCUUCAUGAUACCAAGUGCCCUGAUUCUUUGUUCAAAGUUAGGGGUGGGCCAGUAUCAACCUUGAUAUUUUUCACUGUUGAUUCAUGUUCAUGAAAGAUUCUCCUAAAGUUUGAUUGGUGAAUGCCUGGGCCAAGCACCAUAAGCCUAGGUGCACUGUGCCACAUCCAUAUCAAGAGACUGGGAAUCUUGGUGGGGUCAAAGUCUCUUCAGUAUGCAUGAACUAUUGUAUUGCCUCUCCUGGCAAGUCUAUGAGAGAAGGGAUAGCAUAAACUCUGCCAUAGGAGGAGGAAAGCUUCUCUCUUCUUCUCCAUGGGACACAGGGAGGGAACUGAUAGGUGGCAGCCCUAAGGGCCCAAAUUUAAGAGAGUAAAGUGGGGUGAACAUGUUGAAAUUGUGACCAUUUUCCCAGAAGAAGCAGAGGGUAUAAUGCAUCAAAGUUAGAGCACUAGAAGGGCCUUGGUAUGGCCCCUGACACCAACUUGGACAGAGAGGCCAGACUCCAGCAGGUGGCAGCAAUGGCAGUGGAGGUGGCACAGGCACCAACAUGCAGAAGGGGUUGGCAGUGACCCUGGCAGGGAAGGAUGCAGUGCCUCAGGGAUAAGAGGAUGCCAGCUGGGGACUCAGGCUCAGGUGCAGGUGUCACUAGACCUGGGCUAGCCUCCCACCCACUAGCCAGUUCCACAAGAAUCUGUUCAGAUACAAUGUCCCCCUAAGGAGGAAAGUGGUAGAAAAGUAAAUACGCCUUAAUUCCCCAAACUACUCAUUUACAUCUGGGUAAGACUCCUAAACCAGAAAAAUGAGGAUCUUUAUUGCUAAUUACAUGCUGGGUGUCCUUAGGAGAGACAUUUAAACUUUCUGGACCUCAGUUUUCUCGUAUAUAAAAUAAGGAUGUAAACAAUUAUUAUUUUGUAGGAUUGUUGGAGGACAAAAUGACAAUAUGAGCAAGUGAAAUGCUAUACCUAGUACUAUGCCCUCAGUAAACAGUAGGCAGCAACCAACCUGGUGGGAAGUCUGCUAUCCAGGAGGGUAGGGCUUGUUGACUUGCAAGAUGAUGAGGAUUUCCAGAUAGACCCGGCUGAGUAAGCAUUGCUUUUUCCAGUUGGAUAACCCUGAGAUCUGCUGCUGGAGUGGACUCUGGAUGUGAGCAGGAGGCAAAACACAGGGAAAGCAGCCCGAGUGCUGCUGAGCUUCUCAGGUGCUGAUUUAGAAAAUGUCCAUGCUCACUACACAAGGACCUAAAUAUGCUGGCUCAGCUAUCUAAAUGGCAAUGACAGUUGAUGACAGAUGUUUCCCAACGACUUCCUCUCCCAGAAUCUUUUGCACCCUACACGUUCCUGUUGUUCAGAUUCUUUCUGGAAGCAACACAGUUCCCAAAUGUACAUCAGAUUGUGUUUUUCCCCACAUCUUCGCCAGGCUUGUGUGAUCAUCUUUUUACUUUUUCUUAAUCUUUUUGAUUAAAUUGCAAUUUAAUUUUUAUUUUUCUGACCACUGGUGAGACCUACCAUCUUUUCACAUAUUUAUUGGCCCUUUGCAUUUUCUCCUAAGCUUUCAUUACUUGAGUUUUACAACAGAAGGGCAUCAUCUUUAGAAUCAGUCCAAGGCCAGCAUUCAUUACAACCACUCCUAUUAUUUCAUUUUGUUUUCUUCUCUUCUUUAAACUUCAUGCCUCUGAUUAAUCUGUUUAAUUUUAAUGGCUAGGCAUGGCAGCUUACAUCUGUACUCCUAGCACCUUGGGAAACUGAGGCAAGAAGAUUGCUUGAGAGCAGUCUGGGCAAUAUAGUGAGACCCUGUCUCUACAAAAAAUAAUAAUAAUAAUUUUACAAGUAUGUAAUACUUCAGGGCACACACCGACUUUUGUUUGUCUUCCUUUGGCAGAGUCCUCACCAUAGAUAGAAUUUUUUCAUCUUUUGGAUUAAUCAUGAUUCAGGUCUUGAAAUGAAAACUAAAAUAAACUUUCUAGUUGACCUUUAAUCCCAAUUUGGAAUUAGUCUAGGUUGAAUGAAAAUCACCUACUUGAUAGUACUCUACUUGUGUUUUUGCACUUUCCAUAGAACAGAAUUGGAGGCAGAAUACUGUAGAAGAAAUUUUCAAGAAGAUUCAAGUACUAGAUUUAGGAUGUAGAAGUCCCUGCUUGCAUACUGCUGCCAGUCUCCUUGCAGCUUUCAGCAAAUCACUUUCCUUCCUCUCUCUGUAAAUGAGGCAGGCAGCAGGUUGAGCUAUAUCAGUGAUUCUCAACCCUGGCUACAUAGUACAAGUACUUGAAAAACUUUUUUUUUUUUUUUGUUAGUUUUGGUUGGUUUAUUAUUGUCUUUAAAAGUCUUCACAGGCAAAGCCAUCCCUCCUUGUCUCUAUCUUACACCCUGCCUGGUGGUUUUAGUUGAGGAUUCUGGGAAAAAGAGACUUAGAGUGAUGAUGAGGAGAUUUGACAUUUUAGGAAGAAAAUGGGAAGUUUCUGGAAUUUCAGAAAUUUUCAAACUUCAAAAACUGUCAUGGUUGUUUCUGGCUCUUUAUUUUAUUCCAUCUCUAUAAAAUUCCAUAUGUGGAAAUAAUGUGUUGCCUCAUAUUUAUCUCUAUUCAGUCAUGCAUUUAAUACAUAUUCAUUGAAAACUAAUUAUGUGCCAGACCUGUGCAAGGAGAGAAGGGAAUGCAAUAGAAUUACCUGAAAAACUUCUUUAAAGGCUAUUUAAGAAAUUAAAUAAAAAAACUUUUAAAUAAUGCAUCCUAAGGUCAGUUAAAUAAGAAUCUCUGGGAGUAGGAUCUAUGCAUUAGCACAUUUUAAAAGUGCUAAAAAGUGCCUCAGGUGAUUUUCAUAUGACACCAAGAAUGGGAAUCACUGAACGUGAUGAUCUCUGAUAUCCCUUGUAGUAAACACCUCUAUGAUUCUAAAACAUGUUGAAAUUUGGGCAAUAUAUCAAACUCUUUAGUGAUUUUUAACUUAGUAAAAUGGAGACUCUACUUCAUGUUCCCACACACAGCAACGGAGUUUAGAAUUGGCCUGAAUGGUUGGCUUGGAAGAUGUUUGUUAAUGGCCAGAAUCGUUCAUGAAUCUUCUUGCUUUUUCCUCUCCUCCUAUAGUGAACAUGUCUCUAAAUGAAACAAGAUGUGCUUUUGUUGAGCUGAAAACUGGAUGAACUGAGGGUGUAAAAUGAAUGGACAAUUAAUCCUAUAAAUCACUAACCCAGAGGACAGCCAGCAACCACUUCUUCUGUCCCCACUUUGAGGUUAAAAACAAAAAUGCUGUGUUUGGAGGCCAUAAUGUGAGCUUUUGUCAACAAAGAGGAAAGUGCAAUACAGUUAUAAUAAGACCCACUUCAAUAAAUAAUUUUUUACGCAAUCC